GUGAACGCUGGCGGUAGGCCUAACACAUGCAAGUCGAACGGCAGCACAGUAAGAGCUUGCUCUUACGGGUGGCGAGUGGCGGACGGGUGAGGAAUACAUCGGAAUCUACUUUUUCGUGGGGGAUAACGUAGGGAAACUUACGCUAAUACCGCAUACGACCUACGGGUGAAAGCAGGGGAUCUUCGGACCUUGCGCGAUUGAAUGAGCCGAUGUCGGAUUAGCUAGUUGGCGGGGUAAAGGCCCACCAAGGCGACGAUCCGUAGCUGGUCUGAGAGGAUGAUCAGCCACACUGGAACUGAGACACGGUCCAGACUCCUACGGGAGGCAGCAGUGGGGAAUAUUGGACAAUGGGCGCAAGCCUGAUCCAGCCAUACCGCGUGGGUGAAGAAGGCCUUCGGGUUGUAAAGCCCUUUUGCUGGGAAAGAAAAGCAGCAGGUUAAUACCCCGCUGUUCUGACGGUACCCAAAGAAUAAGCACCGGCUAACUUCGUG
rnacentral:rRNA from 1 species